rnacentral:lncRNA from 1 species
CUCUUUUCUGCCUGAUCAUCAUGUGAGCUGCUUCCCUCCACCAGAAUCUUCUGCCACGAUAUUCGGCCUCCCCUUGAGCCCUGAGGAGUGGAGCCUGCUGUCUAUGGAUUGAGACCUCUCUGAAACCGUGAACCCUCACAUAAACUUUUCCUCCUCUGUGAUUGUUCUGGUCAGGUCUUGUAGUCACAGCAGAGGGAAAAGCUGAUGAAAGCAACCAGGCUGGGAUGAAAACCAGAGUCACAUCAUCUUUUCCACUCAUCCAGUUUUUAAUAGGUGGAGUAUUGGGAAGAUCCUCUAUGUGUAAAGAUUUCUAGAGUGGAAAUCACCCAAGCUCAUCAGGGCUCACAUUGG